CAGUCGAACGAACUCUGGUAUUGAUUGGUGCUUGCAUCAUGAUUUACAUUUGAGUGAGUGGCGAACUGGUGAGUAACACGUGGGAAACCUGCCCAGAAGCGGGGGAUAACACCUGGAAACAGAUGCUAAUACCGCAUAACAACUUGGACCGCAUGGUCCGAGCUUGAAAGAUGGCUUCGGCUAUCACUUUUGGAUGGUCCCGCGGCGUAUUAGCUAGAUGGUGGGGUAACGGCUCACCAUGGCAAUGAUACGUAGCCGACCUGAGAGGGUAAUCGGCCACAUUGGGACUGAGACACGGCCCAAACUCCUACGGGAGGCAGCAGUAGGGAAUCUUCCACAAUGGACGAAAGUCUGAUGGAGCAACGCCGCGUGAGUGAAGAAGGGUUUCGGCUCGUAAAACUCUGUUGUUAAAGAAGAACAUAUCUGAGAGUAACUGUUCAGGUAUUGACGGUAUUUAACCAGAAAGCCACGGCUAACUACGUGCCAGCAGCCGCGGUAAUACGUAGAUGGCAAGCGUCGUCCGGAUUUAUUGGGCGUAAAGCGAGCGCAGGCGGUUUUUUCAAGUCUGAUGUGAAAGCCUUCGGCUCAACCGAAGAAGUGCAUCGGAAACUGGGAAACUUGAGUGCAGAAGAGGACAGUGGAACUCCAUGUGUAGCGGUGAAAUGCGUAGAUAUAUGGAAGAACACCAGUGGCGAAGGCGGCUGUCUGGUCUGUAACUGACGCUGAGGCUCGAAAGUAUGGGUAGCAAACAGGAUUAGAUACCCUGGUAGUCCAUACCGUAAACGAUGAAUGCUAAGUGUUGGAGGGUUUCCGCCCUUCAGUGCUGCAGCUAACGCAUUAAGCAUUCCGCCUGGGGAGUACGGCCGCAAGGCUGAAACUCAAAGGAAUUGACGGGGGCCCGCACAAGCGGUGGAGCAUGUGGUUUAAUUCGAAGCUACGCGAAGAACCUUACCAGGUCUUGACAUACUAUGCAAAUCUAAGAGAUUAGACGUUCCCUUCGGGGACAUGGAUACAGGUGGUGCAUGGUUGUCGUCAGCUCGUGUCGUGAGAUGUUGGGUUAAGUCCCGCAACGAGCGCAACCCUUAUUAUCAGUUGCCAGCAUUAAGUUGGGCACUCUGGUGAGACUGCCGGUGACAAACCGGAGGAAGGUGGGGAUGACGUCAAAUCAUCAUGCCCCUUAUGACCUGGGCUACACACGUGCUACAAUGGAUGGUACAACGAGUUGCGAACUCGCGAGAGUAAGCUAAUCUCUUAAAGCCAUUCUCAGUUCGGAUUGUAGGCUGCAACUCGCCUACAUGAAGUCGGAAUCGCUAGUAAUCGCGGAUCAGCAUGCCGCGGUGAAUACGUUCCCGGGCCUUGUACACACCGCCCGUCACACCAUGAGAGUUUGUAACACCCAAAGUCGGUGGGGUAAC
rnacentral:rRNA from 2 species